rnacentral:lncRNA from 1 species
UCCCCUUCUGUGCCCUCAAGAAGCCACCCCUGACGGGCCAAUCUCUCUGGACUAAUGGACUUCACCGCAGUGUCUUUGCUGAAGUGUCUGACUCCACCCAUGCUGUGACUCCUGCUAGGCCACUUCAGAAGAAAUAUGGUGGAAAGAGCUCUAGAUUGACAGCUGUGGUUGAGAGACCGGGGUUCCAGUUGGGACCUUGCUGCCACCUAGCUGUGUGACUUUGGGCAGGGCAUAGCCUCAGGGGGAAGUGGGAGCUUACUGCAUGAUGGCUUGGUGCUUGGAAGAGGAGACCACGGUGACACUGACCACAGCCCUCACCCUAGUCACCUUGAAGGGCGUGCCCUUGGCUGCAGACGGGGGCCUGGCCAAAGUGUGGCAGACGGUGCUCACCGUCAACACUCCUGAGACCAACCAACUGUGGCAGGGGGUGUCAGGCUGCGCCUUGAAUGUCAGGAAGCUCCUUCCUGGAAUCCCCACACCUAAGCUUGCUGUAAGGCAGGCAGCUGGCACCUUGCUCCCAUGGGCAGGGUGAGGGGGACCCUCAGCAGACAGCAUGGCAGGGCACAGCUCCGGUAGGCAGGCUCCCUGCUGACUCGGCUUCCAUCUCAGUCCCCUCCCUGUUCCCCUUUGCCUUUUGUUCUCUCAGGGUCCUCCUCAGAGGCCGAGAAAAUUGCAUGAUACUGAAAUCAAAUGCUGAACUGAAAUUCAACUCUCCCCUUGAAAUUGCUGCAUUCCUUUCCUCCUUCUAAUUUUGUAAUUCAAUCUUUUUAAAAACGUCGGGGGAUUUUGUUUUAUUUUUUCCCACCUGGAGGGUGCUUAUGGAAAUUCAGUUCUCAGCAUUUUAGAUACUUUCUUGCUAAAUUGUUUUGCCAAAUAUUAAUAAUUUUCCAAAUUAUUUCGGCAUCAAGCCAGUGGUUCCCAGAUCUCCCAACAGUGAUAGCCUGUU